CGUCUAAUACCGGAUAUGACCUGCCCCGGCAUCGGGUGUGGGUGGAAAGUUUUUCGGUCAAGGAUGGACUCGCGGCCUAUCAGCUUGUUGGUGAGGUAAUGGCUCACCAAGGCGACGACGGGUAGCCGGCCUGAGAGGGUGACCGGCCACACUGGGACUGAGACACGGCCCAGACUCCUACGGGAGGCAGCAGUGGGGAAUAUUGCACAAUGGGCGAAAGCCUGAUGCAGCAACGCCGCGUGGGGGAUGACGGCCUUCGGGUUGUAAACCUCUUUUAGUAGGGAAGAAGGGCUUCGGCUUGACGGUACCUGCAGAAAAAGCACCGGCUAACUACGUGCCAGCAGCCGCGGUAAUACGUAGGGUGCAAGCGUUGUCCGGAAUUAUUGGGCGUAAAGAGCUCGUAGGCGGUUUGUCGCGUCUGCUGUGAAAACCCGAGGCUCAACCUCGGGCCUGCAGUGGGUACGGGCAGACUAGAGUGCGGUAGGGGAGAAUGGAAUUCCUGGUGUAGCGGUGGAAUGCGCAGAUAUCAGGAGGAACACCGAUGGCGAAGGCAGUUCUCUGGGCCGUUACUGACGCUGAGGAGCGAAAGCGUGGGGAGCGAACAGGAUUAGAUACCCUGGUAGUCCACGCCGUAAACGUUGGGAACUAGAUGUGGGGGCCUUUCCACGGUCUCCGUGUCGCAGCUAACGCAUUAAGUUCCCCGCCUGGGGAGUACGGCCGCAAGGCUAAAACUCAAAGGAAUUGACGGGGGCCCGCACAAGCGGCGGAGCAUGCGGAUUAAUUCGAUGCAACGCGAAGAACCUUACCAAGGCUUGACAUAUACCGGAAACUUCCAGAGAUGGUUGCCCCGCAAGGUCGGUAUACAGGUGGUGCAUGGUUGUCGUCAGCUCGUGUCGUGAGAUGUUGGGUUAAGUCCCGCAACGAGCGCAACCCUCGUUCUAUGUUGCCAGCACGUUAUGGUGGGAACUCAUAGGAGACUGCCGGGGUCAACUCGGAGGAAGGUGGGGAUGACGUCA
rnacentral:rRNA from 1 species